rnacentral:rRNA from 1 species
GGAUCCAGACUUUGAUUCUGGCUCAGGAUGAACGCUAGCUACAGGCUUAACACAUGCAAGUCGAGGGGAAACGACAUCGAAAGCUUGCUUUUGAUGGGCGUCGACCGGCGCACGGGUGGAGUAACGCGUAUCCAUCCUGCCCACCACUUGGGGAUAACCUUGCGAAAGUAAGACUAAUACCCAAUGAUAUCUCUAGAAGACAUCUGAAAGAGAUUAAAGAUUUAUCGGUGAUGGAUGGGGAUGCGUCUGAUUAGCUUGUUGGCGGGGUAACGGCCCACCAAGGCAACGAUCAGUAGGGGUUCUGAGAGGAAGGUCCCCCACAUUGGAACUGAGACACGGUCCAAACUCCUACGGGAGGCAGCAGUGAGGAAUAUUGGUCAAUGGACGGGAGUCUGAACCAGCCAAGUAGCGUGCAGGAUGACGGCCCUAUGGGUUGUAAACUGCUUUUAUAAGGGAAUAAAGUGAGUCUCGUGAGACUUUUUGCAUGUACCUUAUGAAUAAGGACCGGCUAAUUCCGUGCCAGCAGCCGCGGUAAUACGGAAGGUCCGGGCGUUAUCCGGAUUUAUUGGGUUUAAAGGGAGCGUAGGCCGGAGAUUAAGCGUGUUGUGAAAUGUAGACGCUCAACGUCUGCACUGCAGCGCGAACUGGUUUCCUUGAGUACGCACAAAGUGGGCGGAAUUCGUGGUGUAGCGGUGAAAUGCUUAGAUAUCACGAAGAACUCCGAUUGCGAAGGCAGCUCACUGGAGCGCAACUGACGCUGAAGCUCGAAAGUGCGGGUAUCGAACAGGAUUAGAUACCCUGGUAGUCCGCACGGUAAACGAUGGGAUGCCCGCUGUUGGUCUGAAUAGGUCAGCGGCCAAGCGAAAGCAUUAAGCAUCCCACCUGGGGGAGUACGCCGGCAACGGUGAAACUCAAAUGACAUCGACGG